GGUAAAAGGUAAAAAAUAAGUUAAAAUACACACAUACAGAUAAAACCCACAACAAUGUUAAAUUAAAAAGAAUAAUGGAAUUAUGAGGAAGAAAGCCUGUCUGAAUAAAUAUGUUUCAAGAUGUUACUUGGCUGAGAUUGUAAGGAAGUCCAAAGUAUUGUGCGGCCUCAUCAACAUCAAAUUAUAAUCGAUAUAAGGGUCAGCAGGGAUGAAAUCGAACUACAUAUUCACACACAUUCAGUACUAGCCUACAUUCUAUAAUGAAGUGGAACACUGAUAAAGGUAUAGUUUAUGGUUUUUAUUUAAAACUGUAUUUUUGAUGACUGCUGUUAGUUAAAACGUCCACUAGAUGGCAUUAUAUGAUCUUGCAUUGCACUAAAACCAGGUAUAUGAGCGUUGCAUUUUGGGAAAUGAAGAUGCUAUGAACGCUAAUGGAGAAAACGCUAACGCUAGCGCGACCUCUUUCAAACCAAAGAAAAACUGACGAGUUCCAGACUGCUCUAAUCAGCGAAUUACAUCUGAGUUCUGUGUGAUACAAGUGUCUGACAGAAUUGAUGUCAAGGAGGAUUCGGCCUGAUUCAAUGAGGGAUUGAGGACCAAUUUUUUUCAACUUCAGCCAACUGUUGGAGCAUCACCCAAAGCAGAUAAGGUCGUGGAGGAAAAGACGUUAGUUUGACCAAUAAGCUACAUUGUAGCUUAUGACACAAUUGAAGUGGGCGUCAACUGUUCCUCCGGCUUUUGGCACAUUUAAAUGGAGGCCAGUAUCCGGACGAGUCCAGGUUACCUGCUGAUAUCGACAAAGAGAAGCACAGGAUAAAUUGCCACUCAGUGACGGUAUGAAUGUGGGUGCCAAUGGUCGUCUGUCUCUUUGUGUACCCUGUGAUUAAUCAUUUCAGCGUGCUGCCCGUCUUCCAUUGCAAGUAUUGGUGGCUCGGUGGUAGAGUUUUCGCACGCUGCGCGGGAACCCCGAGACUGAUGCCCGGGCACGCCGAUGCAUCUUGGGGUAGCCUUUGCAGCUAGCCUCGCAUCGGGGCAACAGUUCCGCUACGACAACGCGAGCAGACCAGGAUAUACGGUGUUGGAAAUGUCCCACACUACAACAAAUCAUUAUUUUAUCCACACUGGUUUGAGUGCAAUAUUGUUGUGGUUGGUUCGUUGUUUAAAAUGUGUAAAAGAAAUAAUGUUUGUUUUGCAUGUGGGAUGAGAAUUCAGUAAAACGGCAUGUGAGGGACUAACUUGUCCCCCCCCUCCACAGUACUUAAGUUACUGAAUAUGUAUAUAAAAAUGGAUCUUAAGCUACUAUACCGAGUGUGGUUUGAUUGUCAAUAUCAGUUUGCAUAUGACUGAUGAAAAAGGUAAAAUUUCACAUUUGAAGAAGUCCAUUGGAACUGUUUUGAAAUA